rnacentral:rRNA from 1 species
UACGUAGGGUGCAAGCGUUGUCCGGAAUUAUUGGGCGUAAAGAGCUCGUAGGCGGUUUGUCGCGUCUGCUGUGAAAACUCGGGGCUCAACUCCGAGCUUGCAGUGGGUACGGGCAGACUAGAGUGCGGUAGGGGAGACUGGAAUUCCUGGUGUAGCGGUGGAAUGCACAGAUAUCAGGAGGAACACCGGUGGCGAAGGCGGGCCUCUGGGCCGAUACUGACGCUGAGGAGCGAAAGCGUGGGGAGCGAACAGG